rnacentral:rRNA from 1 species
AGAGUUUGAUCCUGGCUCAGGAUGAACACUGGAGGAAUACUUAACAUAUGCAAGUUAGACGGGAAUCAUGGGAAACGGUGUUUCCAGUGGCGGAUGGGUGAGUGACGCAUAAAAACCUUCCCUUUGGAGGGGAACAAUAGCUGGAAACGGUUGCUAAUACCCCGUAGAUUGAGGAGAAAAAGGAUAAAUCCACCUGAGAAGGGGCUCACAUCUGAUUAUUUAGUUGGUGAGGCAAUAGCUUACCAAGGUGAUGAUCAGUAGCUAGUUUGAUAGGAUGAUUAGCCAUACUGGGACUGAGACAUGGCCCAGACUCCUACGGGAGGCAGCAGUGGGGAAUUUUCCACAAUGGGAGAAAUCCUGACUGAGCAAUGAGGCAUGGAGGUAGAAAGCCCAUGGGUCGUGAACUUUUUUUCCCGGAGAAGAAGCAAUGAUGGUAGCUGGGGAAUAAGGAUCAGCUAAAUCUGUGCCAGCAACCAUGGUAAUAUAGAGGAUGUAAGUGUUAUCCGAAAUGAUUGGGCGUAAAGUGUUUGUAGGUGGCUUUUUAAGUCCACCAUCAAAUCCCAGGGCCCAAACCUAGACAGGCGAUGGAAACUACCAAGCUAAAGUACGGUAGGGAAAGAGGGAAUUUUUGGUGGAGCGGUGAAAUGCGUAAAGAUGGGAAAGAACACCAAUGGCGAAAGCACUCUAUUGGGCUGACACUGACAUUGAGAGACAAAAGCUAGGAGCGAAAGGGAUUAGAUACCCCAGUAGUGCUAGUAGUAAAUGAUGGAUACUAGUCGCUGUGCAUAUCGACCCGUGCAGUGCUGUAGCUAACGCAUUAUGUAUCCCUCCUGGGGAGUACGUUCUCAAGAAUAAAACUUAAAGGAAUUGACGGAGGCCCGCACAAGCAGUGAAGCAUGUGGUUUAAUUCAAUGCAAAGCGAAUAACCUUACCAGGGAUUGACAAGCCACGAAUCCUCUUGAAAGAGAGAGGUGCCUUCGGGAAUGCGAACACAGGUGGUGUAUGGCUAUCAUCAGCUCAUGCCGUAGGUGUUGGGUUAAGUCCCGCAGUGAACUCAACCCUUGUUUUUAGUUGCCAUCGUUGAGUUUAGAACCAUGAAUAGACUGUCGGUGAUAAGCCGAAGGAAGAUGAGGAUGACAUCAACUCAUCAUGCCUCUUAUGCCCUAGGCAACACAUAUGCUACAAUGGCAGAGACAAAGGGUCGCGAUCCCAUGAGGGUGAGCUAACCCCAAAAACCCAUCCUCAGUUUGGAUUGCAGGCUGCAAUUUGCCUGCAUGAACCCAGAAUCUGUAGUAAUCGCUGGUCAGCCAUACAACGGUGAAUUCGUUCCCGGGCCUUGUACACAUCGACCAUCACACUAUGGGAGAUGUCCAUGCCCGAAGUCGUUACCUUAACCGUAAGGAGGGGGAUACCGAAGGCAAGGCUAGUGACUGGACUGAAGUUGUAACAAGGUAGCCAUACUGGAAGGAGCAUCUG